rnacentral:rRNA from 1 species
UACGGGGGGAGCAAACGUUGUUCGGAAUCACUGGGCGUAAAGGGCGCGUAGGCGGCCCUGCAAGUGGUGUGUGAAAUGCCCUGGCUCAACCAGGGAACUGCGCACCAAACUGCGGGGCUUGAGGACAGUAGAGGAAGCUGGAAUUCCUGGUGUAGCGGUGAAAUGCGUAGAUAUCAGGAGGAACACCGUUGGCGAAGGCGAGCUUCUGGGCUGAUCCUGACGCUGAGGCGCGAAAGCUGGGGGAGCAAACAGG